AGUGCAAGCACAUGACAUCCUCCAUGAGCAGGGUGGUUACAGAAGCAGAAUUUAAGACGUUGCUUCUGAUUUCAGCUUAUUUUCUUGCUGCUACCUGCUUUGCAAAGAUGACACCAACAGGUUGCUCUGAUACUGGCCUGGGAUAGAGUUGCAGAUCCAAG